GACGAACGCUGGCGGCGUGCUUAACACAUGCAAGUCGAACGAAGUGGCGAACGGGUGAGUAACGCGUAAUCAACCUGCCCUUCAGAGGGGGACAACAGUUGGAAACGACUGCUAAUACCCCAUACUGAAGCAGGGGUUUGCGUCUGAUUAGGUAGUUGGCGGGGGAACGGCCCACCAAGGCGAUGAUCAGUAGCCGGGCUGAGAGGAUGAACGGCCACAAUGGGACUGGGACCCGGCCCAGACUCCUACGGGGGGCAGCAGUGGGGAAUCUUCCGCAAAGGACGAAAGUCUGACGGAGCAACGCCGCGUGAGUGAUGACGGCCUUCGGGUUGUAAAGCUCUGUUAAUCGGGACGCGGUACCGGAAUAGAAAGCAACGGCUAACUACGUGCCAGCAGCCGCGGUAAUAC
rnacentral:rRNA from 1 species